rnacentral:rRNA from 1 species
UACGGGGGGGGUAAGCGUUGUUCGGAAUUACUGGGAGUAAAGGGCGCGUAGGCGGUCUGUUAAGUCGGAUGUGAAAACUCUGGGCUCAACCCAGAGCCUGCAUCCGAAACUGGCAGGCUAGAGUUCUGGAGGGGGUAGCGGAAUUCCUGGUGUAGCGGUGAAAUGCGUAGAUAUCAGGAGGAACACCGGUGGCGAAGGCGGCUACCUGGACAGAAACUGACGCUGAGGCGCGAAAGCUAGGGGAGCAAACAGG